AUAUCAAUAAGCGGAGGACAAGAAACCAACCGGGAUUGCCCCAGUAACGGCGAGUGAAGCGGCAGCAGCUCAAAUUUGAAAUCUGGCCCGCGCGUCGGGUCCGAGUUGUAAUUUGCAGAGGAUGCUUCGGGCGGGACGCCGGUCCAAGUCCCCUGGAACGGGGCGUCGCAGAGGGUGAGAAUCCCGUCCGCGGCCGGCGCUCCCCCGCCCGUGGGAAGCUCCUUCGACGAGUCGAGUUGUUUGGGAAUGCAGCUCCAAAUGGGUGGUAAGUUUCAUCUAAAGCUAAAUACCGGCCGGAGACCGAUAGCGCACAAGUAGAGUGAUCGAAAGAUGAAAAGCACUUUGGAAAGAGAGUCAAACAGUACGUGAAAUUGUUGAAAGGGAAGCGCCGGCCACCAGACCUGUCCGCGGGCGCUCAGCCCCCGCUCGUUCGAGGGCGCACUCGCCCGCGAGGCAGGCCAGCAUCGGUGCGGGCGGUCGGACAAAGGCCCCGGGAACGUGGCUCCCCUUGGGGAGUGUUACAGUCCGGGGCGGCAUGCGACCCGCCCGGACCGAGGACCGCGCUUCGGCCAGGAUGCUGGCGUAAUGGUGGUCGGCGGCCCGUCUUGAAACACGGACCAAGGAGUCUAACAUCCAUGCGAGUGUUCGGGCGUCAAACCCCGGCGCGGAAUGAACGUGAACGGAGGUGGGAGCCCCCUCGGGGGCGCACCAUCGACCGAUCCGGAUGUCUUCGGAUGGAUUUGAGUAGGAGCAUGGCUGUUGGGACCCGAAAGAUGGUGAACUAUGCCUGAAUAGGGCGAAGCCAGAGGAAACUCUGGUGGAGGCUCGCAGCGGUUCUGACGUGCAAAUCGAUCGUCGAAUUUGGGUAUAGGGGCGAAAGACUAAUCGAACCGUCUAGUAGCUGGUUCCAGCCGAAGUUUCCCUCAGGAUAGCAGUGACGACGUCAGUUUUAUGAGGUAAAGCGAAUGAUUAGAGGCCUGGGGGAAGCAACUUCCUUCACCUAUUCUCAAACUUUAAAUAUGUAAGAAGCCCUUGUUACUUGGGUGAACGUGGGCGACGAAUGGACCGUCACUAGUGGGCCAUUUUUGGUAAGCAGAACUGGCGAUGCGGGAUGAACCGAACGCGAGGUUAAGGUGCCGGAAUGCACGCUCAUCAGACACCACAAAAGAUGUCAGUUCAUCUGGACAGCCGGACGGUGGCCAUGGAAGUCGGAACCCGCCAAGAAGUGUGUAACAACUUACCGGCCGAAUGAACUGGCUCUGAAAAUGGAUGGCGCUCCAGCGUGCUACCCAUACCUCGCCGCCCGGGCAGACACGAGGCCCGGGCGAGUAGGCUGGCCCGGGGGUCCGUGACGAAGCUUCGGGGGCGACCCCGGGUCGAACGGCCCCCGGGGG
rnacentral:rRNA from 1 species